ACAUACAUAUCUCAUGGGCCCAAUAUUAUCUCCUAUCAUCAUCACCAAAUGAGUUUUUUUUUUUUAAUAGAAAUUUUUCAGUGAUGUACAUAUAUUCAAAUUUAGAUCCGCUGCCAUCAAUUUUUUUGCCGAUUUUAAUUUACCUACUCGUCGUGUUCAUCUUUCUGAUGGGGUAGCUUUGUUUUUACGCUCUGUCUUGAUUUUUUUUUUUUUUUUAAAUAUACACCUGCCGCUUAUUAAAAUUUUGAAAAUAUGCGCGGAAUACAAUUUUUGAUCGGAACGAUCUCGUCAAUUUUGGCGUUCAAUGCAGUUUCAACUCUUCAAAUACUGACGCCCGAAGAAGAGAAACACUUACAAACAUUGGAAUCGCUUUUUCCGGAGGCGGCAGAUUUAUGGAAAAAAACAAUACUAAGAAUAGAAGAACUGACUGCCAGAAAGGAUGAGCUUCUUGCAGAUAGCAUGGAUAUUAUAAGGGACUACUACGGCGAGGAAGCAGCGCGGGAGUACGCCGUCAUCGCCGACGACGAAAUAGGCCUAGAGAAGUGGAAAAAUAAAUAUUUAAAACAACAUUGAGUAGACUUCUGAAGAAUUGAUGUUGGGGUGAUUGUGCAAUCAGAACACUCGAAAAUGGAAUUAAUGUGUCGAGGAGAUCCAAUUUUUCAAAUUCCAAUUCAGAUGUUUUGCUUUUGUGCUUACUUCACAGUAUCGACUAUCGAAACGCACGGGUACGUCUAUAUGUAUUACACGAUCCUAAUACUGAUGGGUUGUUCUUAAAGAAUACCGGUUGGAAUCCCAUUUUUGGGACCCGGUAUAUCGGUAAGUGGUUUAUCCCUGAAAAAAUAACACAUUUUAAGCCUUCAUGAUAUAAAAUACUUUUUUUAAAAUUACAUUUUUUGUAAUGACGAAAACUUUAUCAUCAUACUUAAUUCCAUAAACCUAUGGUAAUAAACACAUUUCACUUGGAGUUCUCUCCAUAGUUGAACUUCAGCUCGGUACCAAUAAGGAAGGGGUACCAUGUCGGUCUAUCCUUUCAAAAUCGCAAAGAGUGGCACCGGAAAGAUACAUAUAACAUUUUUGCGGUAUUCUUUCGAAAGGAGACCAUUUCCCGACCCCGAAACCGCCAUUACAUUUUUGAGAUCGAAUUACAAAACCGAUCCAGGGGUUCCCAAAGUUGUGAAAAUUGAGCACUUCCGUUGUCAUCUGUUUCGGCCAAUAAAUCCCAACCAAAAGGGGGUAGAGGGGUGCUUGUGGUCUCAAAUAACUCGUAUUGGAUCACUCUUGAAAUAUCUACCCAUCACCGUUCUCAUUUAGUGAUACUCAACAUUUCAGUGGUUCCCAAAGUAGAAUUUUUGUAUUCCUACGUUUUGAAGUCACGCAUUCAAACGAAUAUUAUCAGUAAAUAAAUUUUGCAAUCAAAAAAUGUUUCAGAUAAAAAAGUUGCAAAAUUUUAUGACGAUUUCAAAAAUGUGUCCAUUUUUUCCCUUAGCAUUGGUAGGGGCCGAGGUGAGGGGGUUGGAACGUCAAAAAACAUGAUCUAACAAAGUUACAUCCAAACCUGAAUUUGAAUUUCUCACGAGGUUUUACCGUUGAACUGUUCUCUUCAGUUGAACUUAUGAUUGUUCUCGAUACACGCAACAACCAUCCACCCCCCCACGCCUCAUCCCCCUCGCUAGAGAUUUGAUAACUACUAAAAGUGCACUCUGAACCUGGAAGUGCUUCACUUAUGAGGUUAUGUUGCUGAAGUGUCGACUCCGAAUGAACUGUGAGAAAUUCAAAUUCAGGUUUGAAUGCAAGUUUUUUAGAUCACGUUUUUUGACGUUCCAAUCCCCUCACCUCCGCUCCUAACAAUGCUAGGGAAAAAAAUGACACAUUUUUGAAAUCGCCAUAAAAUUUUGCAACUUUUUUAUCUGAAACAUUUUUUGAUUGCAAAAUUUAUUUACUGACAAUAUUCGUUUGAAUGCGUGACUUCAAAACCUUGGAAUACAAAAAUUCAACUUUGGGAACCACUGAAAUGUUGAGUAUCACUAAAUGAGAACGGUCAUUGAUAGAUAUGUCAAGAGUGAUCCAAUACGAGUUAUUUGAGACCACAAGCACCCCUCUAUCACCUUUUGGUUAUGAUUUAUUGGCCAAAACAGAUGACAACGAAAGUGCUCAAUUUACACAACUUUGGGAACCCAUGGAUCGGUUUUGCAAUUCGAUCUCAAAAAUGUAAUGGUGGUUUUGGGGUCGGGAAAUGGUCCCCUUUCGAAGGAAUACCGCAAACAUUUUAUAUCUUUCCGAUGCCACUCUAUUGCGAUUUUGAAACGAUAGACCAACAUGGUACCCCAACGAAAGUGGGUGGAUAAAGUCAUUAGAGUAUGCAACAAAUAGUCCGGCAUAACGACAACAGGAGUAAUUGCACCCCCCCCAUCCUCCGAGACAACUUUUUUCUUAAAGGGGACAUCCUAAGGAACAUUUUAAGGCAAACUUGCCCGAAAAAAGUUGGCCUUAAUUACAAAAUGGCGGCCAUUUUGACUGACACAGGUCAGCCAAAAUCGCAGAUUUGCGUUUCAGCGUAGGACUUGCACGAAAUUUUUCAAACCUUACAAAGGUAGAUCGAAAGAUCAUGCAAAAAUUCAUCACCUGUCAAAAUUUCAAGCGCUAAGGUGCGUUUUUCGAUUUUUGGUGAAUUUUUGAAAAUCGAAUUUAGGCCAAAAAUGAGAGGAAAAUCAAAAUUUUACCAAAUUGACCAAGAAAGCUGAACUUUGGAAUAUAUCGCCUAUUUUCGAUAGGCCAAAUCGAUUGAAAACGGUUUCAACCCGUUUUGAGCAGUUCUGGAGCCUCCAGCAGAUUAUUGAAACUCGAAAUUCCCACAAAAUUACUUCAAAUUGGAGUUGAAAAGCUGAAAUUCAUUCUAAAAACUAAUUUCGAUACGCUACGAAGUACUGCAUGUGAAUUUCAAGUCGUUUUGGAGCCUCCAGCGACUUUUUGAAAGGUUAUAUGGCGUUUUUUUUGGAAAAUUGAAAUUUCCUAAAAGUAGCUGGAAGCAUCAAAACCAAUUGAAACCACCAUGUAGUCUGCGAAGUAAAUUUCAGCUUGCCAACUCCAUUUGAUAAAUUAAUGUUUCGGGAGUUUCAAGUUUCACAAAUCUACUGGAGGCUCCAGUUAUUUUCAAAAAAGUCGCUGGAGGCUCUAAAAUAACUUGAACCCAUCUGAAGUCGUCUUCAGAGGGUGUUAAAAUUGGAGUGUAGAGUAAAUUUCAGCUUUCCAUCUCCAUUUGAUGAAAUUUUGUGAAAAUUUAAAGCUUCAAAAAACUGCUGGAGGCUUCAGGAAUUUUCAAAAAGUCGCUGGAGGCUCCAAAACGACUUGAAAUUCACCUGCAGUACUUCAUAGCGAAUUGAAAUUAGUCUUUAGAAUAAAUUUCAGCCUUACAACUCCAAUUUGAUGAAAUUUUUUGGGAAUUUCGAGUUUCAAAAAUCUGCUGGAGGCUCCAGAACUGCUGAAAACAGGUUGAAACCGUUUUCAAUCGAUUUGACAUGUCCAAAAUAGGGUAUAUCCCAAAUUUCAGCUUUCUUGGUCAAUUUGGUAAAAUUUUGAUUUUUCCCUCAUUUUUUUUUUUGGCCUAAAUUGGAUUUUCAAAAAUUCACCAAAAAUCGAAAAACGCACUUUAGCACUUGAAAUUUUGACAGGUGAUGAAUUUUUGCAUGAUCUUUUGAUUUACCUUUAUAAGGUUUGAAAAAUUUCGUUCAAGACCUUUUUUUGAAACGCAAAAUGUGUGAUUUCGGCUGAUAUGACCUGUCAAUCAAAAAGGCUGCCAUUUUGUAAACAAGGCCAACUUUUUUUCGGGCAAGUUUGCUUUAAAAUGUUCCUUAGGAUAUCCCCUGUAAGAAAAAAAGUUGUCCCGUAGGAUCGGGGGGGGGGGGGGGUGCAAUUACUCCUACUGUCAUAUGCCGGACUAAAAGCAUGAGAAACGGCUUCAUAGGCACAUCAACCCAGAGACAAUUCAAGUGGCAGAUAUAUGUACUAGUAUGAUGGUUAGACGUCUUAAACGUCAAAAGCCUAAUGACCUAGUGAUGUAAUAACAUGUUAUGUUUAUAGCAGAUUAUCUGCUCAUGUUACUGAAUAAAUUAAAUUUACGGCAGACUUACUUACUCAGUUUUAUUAGCCAAUGAAUUAAAAUCAACAAAUUCCAUGGAACCAAGAGCUUGUUUCAUAAAUAAUAAUAAUUUUUUUUUUUUUAUUCGAUUCAUCUCAUACAAUAUAAAUCUACAAUAAGUUCUCCCUGGCCUAUGCGCAAUAUUGCGCGAGCGACACAGGGCUUUAAUGUUAAACAUACUACGUACUUAUUUAAGAAGUAUCUCAAGAUUGUAAUAUUGAUAAAUAUGUCAAAAAAAAUUUCAUAAUUCAAGAAAUACAAACCAAAUAAAAUUAUUAUGCAA